rnacentral:tRNA from 1 species
UCGGGUUGGCUCAGUGGUUAGAGCCUAGGUCUCAUAACCGAAAGGUUGCGGGAUCGAAUCCCGCUAGAGGCUGAA